rnacentral:rRNA from 1 species
UGGGGAAUUUUGGACAAUGGGGGAAUCCCUGAUCCAGCCAUCCCGCGUGUGCGAUGAAGGCCUUCGGGUUGUAAAGCACUUUUGGCAGGAAAGAAACGUCAUGGGUUAAUACCCCGUGAAACUGACGGUACCUGCAGAAUAAGCACCGGCUAACUACGUGCCAGCAGCCGCGGUAAUACGUAGGGUGCAAGCGUUAAUCGGAAUUACUGGGCGUAAAGCGUGCGCAGGCGGUUCGGAAAGAAAGAUGUGAAAUCCCAGAGCUCAACUUUGGAACUGCAUUUUUAACUACCGGGCUAGAGUGUGUCAGAGGGAGGUGGAAUUCCGCGUGUAGCAGUGAAAUGCGUAGAUAUGCGGAGGAACACCGAUGGCGAAGGCAGCCUCCUGGGAUAACACUGACGCUCAUGCACGAAAGCGUGGGGAGCAAACAGG